GACGAACGCUGGCGGCGUGCUUAACACAUGCAGGUCGAACGCUGAACCCGCUUCGGUGGGGGAUGAGUGGCGAACGGGUGAGUAACACGUGGGCAACCUGCCCCCGGCUCUGGGAUAACUCCAAGAAAUUGGGGCUAAUACCGGAUGUGACCGCUGGCCGCAUGGUCUGGUGGUGGAAAGGGUUUCCGGCUGGGGAUGGGCCCGCGGCCUAUCAGCUUGUUGGUGGGGUAGUGGCCUACCAAGGCGACGACGGGUAGCCGGCCUGAGAGGGUGACCGGCCACACUGGGACUGAGACACGGCCCAGACUCCUACGGGAGGCAGCAGUGGGGAAUAUUGCGCAAUGGGCGGAAGCCUGACGCAGCGACGCCGCGUGGGGGAUGACGGCCUUCGGGUUGUAAACCUCUUUCAGCAGGGACGAAGCGCAAGUGACGGUACCUGCAGAAGAAGCACCGGCCAACUACGUG
rnacentral:rRNA from 1 species